UGAGUUUUAGAAGAGGAUUAACAGGUUUAAAAGAGGUUAACGAGGAGUUGAAAGAGGAUAAUGACAUUUAGAAGAGGAUUUAGAGGAAACGGAGUAGGAUUAAAAGGAAACGGAAGAGGAUUAAAAGGAAACGGAAGAGGAUUAAAAGGAAACGGAAGAGGAAUACGAGUUUCAGAAGAGGAUAAAGAGGUUUACAAGAGGUUUACGAGGAGGAGGAAGAGAAUUAAGAAAUUUUGAAGAGGAUUAAGAGGAAGAGGAGGAGGAUUACGAGGUUUACCGUGGUAUAUCCACGGGUCCCGCUAGUCUAUUAUCACAGUUAUAUAACUCUAUGGUCUCUAUAUUAUACCUUCCUUCGUUCCUCCGUGUGUCACGCCCUAGUAUCCUUGGUAACAGCCUCGACCCCGUUAUCUCGAACAAUUCGAUAGCCUCGACCCCGUUAUCCGGCCUUAGUAUCAUAACUUACACAUUUUGCCUUGGUAUCAUAUCUACACAUUGAUUGUAGCUUCGUUCGUUCCUCCAGCCUUGGUAUCUUUGCUACACAUUUUGACUUGGUAUCAUAUCUACACAUUGAAUGUAGCUUUAUUCGUUCCUCCGGCCUUGGUACCAUAACUAUAUACAUUUUGACGAUAUCAUAUCUACAAAUUCAAUGUAGCUCAGUUCGUUCCUCCGCCAUUGGUAUCAUAACUACACAUUUUGACUUAGUAUCAUAUCUACACAUUGAAUGUAGGUUCGUUCGUUAUUCCGGCCUCGGUAUCAAAGCUACACAUUUUGACGGUUCGUUCCUCCGGCCUUUGUAUCAUAAUAUGAGGGCCGUAUUACAAGCGGUCCCAGACGAUUGGUCCAAUGUCUAUUGGUCUAAUGACGACUGGCCUAAUGCCAACUGGUCUAAUAGAUCAAUUGGUUUAAAGACAUCUAGUCUAAAACUGAUUUGUCUAAUAGACCCUAAAAAAUCCUAAAAAAAAAAAAAAAGCUGUCAUCAGAAGCCAUUCAUACUACAUGUCCGUUGGUGAAAUGUCUGUAAGUGAAAGGCCAAAUAUCCUUCUGUGAAUGUCAUUUGGCUAAAUACUUGUUGGUGAAAUGUCAGUCAGUCAUCAGGUCAAGAGCCUGUAAAUGUGUAGCAUGGGCAGACUGCAGUCUCAGAACACUCAUGUUUUAUGUUUCAGGAGUCCUAAGCAACUUUUGUUACUCAUUGUGUGGGGUCUGUUCAGCUUCAGAAUAUAGGUUACCUGGUAUCCACCAAAAAAAAAUAAAAAAAAUAGCAUUAGGUAAAAGAAAGACUAGAUUUUAUUAAUAAACAUAUAUUUGGUGUUAGUAGGACUAGAAGUCAUUAUCAGCUAAGCUUGUCAUUAACCUAGCUUAGUAGAAAGAAAUAUGUUCCUUGUAUUGCAAACAAGGGACAUACAUUUGGUAUGUGCAGUGUGUGUGUGUGUGUGUGUGUGUUGGACUGACAGAGAGCAGAAAUUCCCAAGGAGAAAAUAUUGGGAACAGUAUAUAUCUUACUAUCAACAUGUUAAAUAUUGCUAGUGUCCAUAUUCAUGAGAAAAAAAAUGUAAAUCCAUGGUGCAGGCCAUGUAAAUUAAAAGCAAGCAGCCAAGACAAAUCUCAUUUCCACAAACUCUACUUAGUGAUCAUAAGCUACAGACUACAAAUGCCUUUUAUUAUUUCCAUCCAUACUGUAAAUGUAAAGCUAGAAUUAAAUGGUUGUUAUUUUGUGAAAAGGCACUGACAAAAAGGUUGACACUAAGGUCAAGUUUCAUUACCUUUGCAGGUAUAGCCUGACUGCUCAAGAGAGUGUGGCCUUGAUCUCCAGGUAUUAAGUAAAGAUGUCUAUAAUAAAAUUUUAUAAAUCGGAUACAUGAAGCAUGGUGCUUGAUGUGAAAAGGUAAUUAGUAGUUUUGAAAACAUAAAAUAAUAUGUUUUCAUAUAUGUAAUGUCAUAAUUUUGGAUGGCCAGUAUUAAAGUAUAAAACUUUUUCUUGAACAGUUAUUGGAAUACUAUAACACCAUCUCUUGCUUUUGUUUGUUUGUUUGUGCAAUAAUAAGAACCUGAGCAGUCAAUGUUGUGGUUGUUCAAUACAUGCUACACUUUAUACCUUUAAGACACCUUUCUGCAUAUGAUUCAUGAAAUAUUUCAUCACAGCAAUGAAAAAUUCCAUCAGCUAAAGUACUUCCAACCGGUUGGACAAGCUGCAUUCUCAGCAGUAAUGAGUACUUGUUAUGCAUGAAGUAGUGAAACAAAUUACAACUUCAUUUUGAUUACAAACUACCAGUGGAAUGAUUAAGGAAGAAAUAAUUCUUAUAUCCCUUUGAUAUGAACAUGAAGACCCCAAUUUAUGACGAAUGAUUCAAACCUGAAUAAUUUUGCUUAAUCACUGAGAUACCUAAAUAAAUAGUACUUGUUAGGAGGGAGUUAAUGUGAGAUCAUUACUUGUGUGAGAAUGGCUGCUCACACACUAGUGUGGACUGGAAAUUCCUGAUUUUUAUGAUGGCUAAUAUUAUGCCUAUGAAAAUGGGUAAACAGAUUAAUGAUGAGACUUCUGCAGUACUACUGUAUGAGCAGCCACUGGUGAUCCUAACAUAACUAUUUAUGAUUUUUAGGCAUCAAAACAAUAAGUCUGUGUUAAAUGAGGAAAACUGUGCUAAAUCUACAUAGUAAAAUCAUACAUUUCACAGUGGUUAGUAAGGUACCCAACAUAGCAAAAGCUGCUGACUAUAUUAGUUAUUAUAAAUAAAUAAUGCUAAUGAAUACUGUUGAAAGGAACAAAUGGACAUAAAAGAAUGCAAUACUAGAAUUAUAAAGGUAUUGACUUAAAUGAGAAAUUUCAUCCUUUAGAAAUUAAUACAAUGCAAUCAAAGAAAACCUCCCAAUACAGUCUUAAAUUUAUCCUGGACAUGUCUCAUACAGUGGAUAAGCUGAAAAAGGUAUUCUUAGAGAUGGCUUGUCUUAAGUGUAAAUGGAGGCCUUAUUGCAAUAUGUAAUUGUAAUUUUGGCACAAUUGAGUUAGGGUACACUAGUACUGAGUGCAUCACAGAUGACAAUUAUAAUGCACAUGCGUGGAAGUCCAGUAUUCAUCUGUAUUGCAAACUCACUGUAUCAUAAAAUGUUACAUCUGAGAAAGUACAAUUUAAAUAGUAUGUCUUUAUGCAGGUGAAGAUUAAAUAACCUCAGGACUUAUCACACUGGUCAUAAAAGUAUCUUAGGUUACAGAGCCUCACUUGAUGAAAAUAUUCCAACAUUCCCAGUUCCGUUAGCAUAUUAGGUAAUGAAAAUGUGUUAACAAUGUUAAGCCUCAAGUAUCACUAUGCAGCUUAUGUAUUAUCUGGCAAUGUCAACAUAGAAAAUUAAGUAUUUUACAGGAUUUUAUACACCCUAGAAUGAGUGGAUCCAUCACAGGACACUGAAAUCAUGAAGCCUAUCUUAGUUUCCUUUCAUAGAAUAAAAGAAAAUAAAUCUUUAUCAUUAGGGCUCUCAAAGCUCAGUGACAUUCAUAACAUGAAAUACUGUGGCAAAACUUGUGAAGAAAACAUUAAGAGAAAAGUCUGGUAAGAAAAUUCAGACCGUUCCACAAAACUUAACAAAAACAGCUUAUAUAACCUCAAAAAUAGGAUCAAAUAAUUUGAUUCCUUAGGUUUUGAUGUGUGAAACCUUUCUAAAGCAUCAUGAGAAAGUAACUUUGGACAAAGGAUUCGGAUUACAAAUUACCACGGAAUUAGAAGGCUAAUGCUGUAAUGAGAGGAGGAAAAUAGCAAAAUCAAAUAAAGAAGUAGAGGAACAAAUUUACAUCAAAGGUAAAUUUUCAGGGGAGAAUUAGAGAAUUUUUAGUACUUGCUCUGGUUUUCUUGGUGUACUUGUUUUUAAUGUUUAUGUAAUUUUAUCUUUUGGCGUUUUCUCAGAAAGCAUUUAAAUCACUAUUGCCAUCGUAUACUUGAUCAACUUGUGACUUUGGAAACUUUAUGAGGUUCCAAAUAAUACAAAAUCUCUCUUCAUCAUUUGUCUCAACAUUUUUUCUAAACUAUUCUCAUCUCUAACUUAAAUAAGUAAAAUUUAAGAGCACAUCUUAAGUCCCAACGGCCUUAUUUAUAUAAGAUUCAACCAGUAUAAGAUCCUAAUUGUAAGUUAUCAAAUAUUAUACUAAUCAGUCAAGUAUCCAAACUAAUUGGGUCAAGGGCAGGUCAAAUAGACAAAGUUUUAGGAUACACAAGGUAUUGAAUUCUACAGCUAGUACAGGGGUUAUUUUCCCAAGCUGCCGUACCAUCUCUGCCACACUCAGAACACCUGCACUUAAAGAGAAAGCUCACCAAACCUGAAGCCUUGCUGGAAUGGCACCUCAAAUUACCUUUUUUUCUGUAUUUGCAUAUACAUUUUUUGUCCAAUAGUAAAUUAUCAUUAGACAAAGACGUACAUGGAAAUGUAAAAUAAAAGGGGUUGAGAUGAGCAGGCAACAAAGUUUCAGGCACUGCAUGAUAGAGUACUGAGCUUUGACUGGCUGUAUGGGACCCAGGAAAGGGGUGCAUGGAUGGGAAAAUGCAUGUGCCAGCUUGCAACUUUUACCACCCCAGAAACCUUACCACUUUAUAUCUGUUCUUAAUAUCGCGACUUUAAAAGAUUCGGACAUUAGUAGUUCAGAUACGGAAAUGAUUAAUGUAUACUGGCAAUUUGCAACUUGCGUCGUUUUAGCUGUACUAUGUAGAUUGAUUCAAGUCAGGCUUCAGUUUCCUAUUUCAAGCUAAAAAUGAUUGCUCAGCCAACACACUACCCUGCAUAUACACACACCUUGCCUUCACCUGCAUGAAUCAUGCCAGUAAAGCCAACACUAACCAAAGUUUGUGGAAAGACUUCAACAUUGCAGAUUAUAUCAGUAAUGUGGAGGAAGCCACGGAGGCACUGAAACCACAGUCAGUUUAUUAGUGAGGGUGGGCAUUGAGAAAUGAAAGUGUGCAUUACUUUAAAGGAUUAACAAUAAUCAAGUAUGAGGUAAGCACACUAUGAAAGUGCCCAGGGCAGUAGGUGGUGAAGGGUUUAAAAGAUGUGGCAGAGCAGGAAUUUAUGAAGUCAAUCAAUGGACAACUCUGACUGGUGCAGAGUUGGAGGAAUUGAGAGUGCGAAGGAAGGCAGUGGCAAUGGCAGUGGUGGGGAUGAUGAACAGGAUGAGCCACCAUAUUGGGACAUGCACAGGUUAAGGAAAGUGUUUCAGGUGGCUGAGCAUUGAAUUACUCAAGUGUCUGAAUAUGGCCCCACUAUAGAGCAAAUAAUUAACUUUUCACAUCUUACUACUAGCUUUAUGGCUUAGUCUAGGAAUAUCUUUCAGCAGUUUGAGACAAAAGCUCUAUAGGAAAACCCCAGCAUCGUCACCAUCAGCACAUAUGCCAACUUCUUGCUGUAGCCCGAAACUGCCCCCAACUUCCCCUUCAUGAUUAUCUGACCUUUACAAUGACCCACACAAGCUUGGCAGGGAAACAAGUCAUCUCUGUUAACAUUAUAGAGAGGAUACAAACACCGAUUCAUCCUUCCUGAGUGCUGCUGCUGCUGCAGGCCGACACCAGUUAUACAAUAGCUGUCACUGCACCACAUUAUUGGUUAAGUAUUCAAUUAUGAUAAUCAUUAAUAAAAUGAAAGCUGUAUUAGUUUCGUGAGCUGUAUAAAUAUAUAAAGUACAGUAAAGUCAGUCACCAUUAACAUUCUGCCCUAGAGCAGUAAGUGGUUUUCAUUUUAUAAACCUUGUCUGUUAAUGUAGUUGUACCUCUCAAAAAAUAGUGUUACUGGAAUGUAGCAGUACACUUCAUUUGUCAGUGCACAUUAUUAGUGUAAUAACUUCACAGUGACACUUUCCCAUAAUUGGUGAUUCAACAUCACAGUCAUCACAUUGAUAAAAUUACAUGUUUCAACCCAUCAAUUUCUUGGUUGAGAUGGUCAAGACUAAACCCAGUGCAGGCACCUGUGUAAGAACUGCCACCAACUCAAGUGGUAACAUUAUCAUUGUCAGGACUGAAUAGUGCAGCCCUGAUGUAAUCUAUGUUAUUUCCCAUUCCUAGAACAUAGAGAACUAUUUCAUUACACAUGUCAACUGCAGUUCUUUAGGAACAAAUAUAAUAGGAAAAGUAUUCCAUAUAGUAAAAGGAAAAUGGAAUAAACCACAUCAUUACUAUAGAGCAAGUUCAACAUGACAAAGCAGUUAAAAAAAAUAAUGCAUUUAGAACCUUUGUGUAAGCAGGAAAUAGUAAGUAAAAAAUGCUUACAAACUAAUGUGAUAUGUUAUAACAUAAUAAAUACUGCAGAAUUGAUUAAUAAUGUUUUUGUCUUUUAAAUAAAAUAAUCAUGAAAACAUUUUUUCCAGAACACUGAGCUACUUCUCAUGAUUGCUGAUGACCAAUCUUCCUAUACCAAAACAAUAUAUAAAUUCUUUUUUAAUAUAAUUUCUUCUUAACUUCUAGAUGACAUACAGAAAUCACUGGUGCUGUCAUUCAUCAUUCAUUAUAAGUGGAAAAAAUUGGAUGACAAACAAGUCACUGGUGCUGUCACAGAUCCCGUAUAAUUGGAGAAAAAUAAGUAAGAUCUAUGAAAUAACGAUAGGUAAACUAAAAUCCUGAGGACCACGAGAUUUCAUCCCAUUAACUUUCCAAUUUCACAAGUUUGAGGCUCAUGCUUGGAAUAUUCUAUUUUGCAUAUCUAGAUAUUGACAUGUUGCUUAUCGGCCAAUCUUUCCAGCCUUCUGCUUUGGGGGAAGAUGGGGCAGGAUCUGCAUGUCUGAAGUAACUAAGAACAUGAACAACCCUUCAUAGAUGAACUUCUGAGUGGCUGCACAUUUCCUCAUAAGGUAUGACCCAUAGUAUCAGUCCACAUCAUACCCAAUGUUGCCUUUCUAAGUGGUUUAAACACCUUAUCCCUAGAAGUUAUGGCAAUAUAUGAUGACCAGUUACCACAGUUGAUAUAAGGAAGGAUAAGCAGCUCAUAGAUUUGUAAUCAGGAUUGUUAACCACUACAUUAGAUUGAUACAAAAGUAUCUGAAAAUGUAUUGUAGGUUAGAGACAAAUGCCAAAGUCUAAUUCAUAAGUAUUUGAAUAAUUCAAAAUUGAAAGCAAUCACUUAUAAGAUAAUAUAAACGCAGAUUUUCUAGACCUUAUAUACUCAUGUAAUAAUCAAAUUCUUAUCAAAGUAGCACCCUCAUUCUUGGACUUGAUCUUAAUUUUUCAUAUAUCACAUGUACUAGUUGACCCUGGUUUUAAAAAAUGACAUACCAGUUAUUUACCAUCAAACGCACCUAUAAUGUCAAUGACUCAAGCUAUGGGCAAACUGGUGAGUAGAAAUUCAUACUGAACCUUAUAUUUUGACAGGGUUCAGUGGAUGGGUUUAUGGUAUUACUUGAAGAGAUCAGAUCCUUUUUCAAGAACAAAAGUACAGCCAUGUGUGUGAAAGCAAAGAUCAGUCAGAGUAUUAGUGUUGAUGUGGGUGUAAGACAAGGUGUGUAAUGCCAUCAUGAGUGUUAAAUAUUUAUAUGGAAAUUAAACACAGUAGGGAAGUGGGACGCCUAUUUAUGGGUAAAACAGUGAUGUGGAAGGAACGUGAAAGGAUGCUGCAGAGGAUUGUCAAUGAAUUUUUAAGGGUGUGUAAGAAGAUAAAAGUAAAUAGUGGCAAUGUAAGGUUAUGGUAUUUGAAUGAGGAACACCAUGUAAUUAUUGCCAUUAUAUUCUAUUUUCCAAAGCCAUACAGAGUUAGGGCAGAGAUCACAAUAGAAUAAGAUCUGGUUGGGAGAAAAGAGGAUGGAAGGAAUGAUGAGCUUCAGUACUUGGUGACUAUAUAUGCCUGGGAACAUGGAGGGAGAGGUGAGGAGAGAGUACUGUAUCCAUUUCCCUAAUAAUUAGUAAAGAUGUAACAGCAAAAGGAGUAGAUUGUAGAGUGCUUGAAUGGCUGAAGUGUGGUUCCUUGAGGUAAUUUGGACAGGUGAUGAGAAUGAAUGAGGAUGACUAUGAAGAGUAUAUGAGGGCAGGAUUGACGAUGAGGGUGCUAGGGGAAAAUUACCAGUGAAAUGGAAAUCUAUUCUAUCUAUAUCUCCGACACCCUGCGGCAGAGAUGUCUCCAUCUCUCCCUGUUCUGGCACUCCCUCUCAGCACACUCAAUCCUGCUACUUUCAACUCUCACUUCAAUACUUGCCCACCUUAUUGAUCCACUAAACAGGUGGUCUUCCCCUGACACCCCCUCCCUCAAUCCUUCCCUCAUACACUCUUCACAAAUUCAUUCUCCUUCAUUGUCAUCAUGUGUCCAAACCAUCUCAGCAGAUUGAUGUGUACAAAUAUUUUAGAACAGGAUUGUAGGAAAGAGAUGGAGUGCUGGAACAGAAUGGGAGCAGAAUGUCAGAUACAGAAUGCUGAUGCGGAGAACCAAGCAGUAAUUCAUUCUAUCUUUAUUUCCAACAUUCCAUUUCUUGAUGCAGACUUCCCUAAUAGGAGUGGCUAUGGCAGAAGGGUCUCCAACUUCAAUACUUGUCCACUUUAUUGAUCUACUUCACUGGUGGAUUCCCCCGACAUCCUCUUCUUCAAUCCUCCCAUCAAAUAUGCUUUUCACAAAGUCAUCCUCAUUCAUUCUCAUUAUAUGUUCAUUUUCUCAGGGCACCAUGGUUCACCCAUUCCAUAAUCCACUCCAUUUACUGUUCCAUCCAUAUCAAACCCUAUACAUUACUUGCUCCAUUCCAUCUUGGCACACUACAUGAACCUCUUAUAUUCCCCAUUUACAGUACUCGUAUUCAGAACUGCUGUAAUACAUUCCACAUGUCUCAAAUGCUAGUAUUUAUACUCUUCUUUAACUCUAUGCUCAAGCUUUCUAACUGUCUUUAAUGCACCGUUACCUGUCCCUCCUUCACCUCUCCCUUCAAGCAGAACUGUCCUUAAGUACUUUCACUAAAUCACUUCCUCCAUGCUCUCUUUCCCAAACAAGAUCUUACACUUAUUGUGCUCUCUACCCUAACUCUGCAUGGCCUUGCAAUAUCAAUAGUUUCUCUCUUGCCCUCUCAAAUGCCGACCGUAUCUUGCCAACUAUACUUUCACUUCAUCUUACACACCUUGUCAAAUUCACCCACAAUCUUCUGCAGAAUCCCUUCACUUUCUGCCAACAACACAUCAUCUGCAAAUAGGUUUGCCACCAUGGAUUGCUUCAUACUUUCAGCCCUGGGCUGGACUCCCUUACUCCUAAGUCUCACUUCUCUCAUACAACCAUCCAUAUAAAUAUUUACCAGCCAUGGUAACAUCACACACCCCUGUCUCAGACCCACACCUACACUCUCACUUAUCAGUGAUUUAAAAUAAUUUUUCUUUAUAUCCUCAUCCCUUAACAUAAUUAUCCUCAAUAUAUUUUCCUGAUAUCUCCCUAUCAAAAUCUUGAGUUGCUAAGUAAUAUAUUUAUUUUCAUUAAUUAAAAAAUCAACUGGGCAUUCAGUGAUAUGAAACUGAAAAAUAAACAAGCCCCCAGAAAAGAAGGAUUCAUAUUAUAGUCAAUCUCCUAAAAUUAAACUCUCCAUAUUUUUACAAACUUGAAUUGCAUGAGUAUAUACGGUAAUGAUUAGUCAGAACCAGUUUCCAUUUCAAUUUGAUAUUAUUUAAGAAGUGGUAAGUAUCCUUUAUUUUACAAGAACAUGACUGACAUCCUUUGGCUGAAUGAGGAACACCACAUAACUAUUGCCAUAAAAAAUUCCCCAAAGCAGCAAACAUACAGAAUAUUAAUGAGUCAACACUUCCAACUCUUGUUUUCAAUCCACAGUUCAUCAUGGUCAUCUUCAAGCAGUGACUCUUGGACGGACAACACACCUCCAGCUGCUGCAUUUACACAGGAAACUAAGGUUAAUGGAAUAAAUAUUUUCACAAUAAAUACCAUUCCCACACAGGAAUGCUUAACAGGACAUGGUUCAGAGUUGUUUGUACAUCCGGUGAAAUAAAUCGUGACCUGCAUACCCACUUUUGCAGCGUUAGGCACCACCACUCACCAGCCCUGCAGCACAACUCCUAUGGAAUGAAUGGUUGAGCAAGCAUUGCACAUCAGGCACAAAGAACUCGUGUAUCACACCAUCCUGUUUCUUGUGCCACAACUUAUUUGUCGUCUUUGUUACUAAUUUUCAUGUGAACUGGGAAAAGUCUCAGAAUUCUUACAUAUGCCAGGAUUCUCAGCUUUUCCAUAUUAUUAAAAGGUGGCUGAGUUAUUUUCCUAAAACAGUAUAAAACAAUAAAUAAUUUUAUAACCAUUGUAAAUAAAAUCUGGUCAUUGGA